AAUGAACGUUGGCGGCGUGGAUUAGGCAUGCAAGUCGAGCGCUCAUCAGCAAUGGUGGGAGCGGCGAACGGCGUAGUAAUAUGUAGGAACGUACCCUCGGGUCGGGGAUAGCCAUGGGAAACUGUGGGUAAUACCCGAUAAUCUCUGCGGAGCAAAGGUGUGAUUCCGCCUGGGGAGCGGCCUACACGAUAUUAGCUAGUUGGUAGGGUAAUGGCCUACCAAGGCUACGAUGUCUAGGGGGUGUGAGAGCAUGGCCCCCACGACCGGAACUGAGAUACUGUCCGGACACCUACGGGAGGCUG
rnacentral:rRNA from 1 species